UAAUUGAAGAGUUUGAUCAUGGCUCAGAUUGAACGCUGGCGGCAGGCCUAACACAUGCAAGUCGAGCGGUAACAGGGGAAGCUUGCUUCUCGCUGACGAGCGGCGGACGGGUGAGUAAUGUAUG
rnacentral:rRNA from 1 species